rnacentral:ncRNA from 1 species
GCAGAUGGUGCUCCAGAGCGUUGGAGCUAAGAGGGAAUCCGGUGCAAAUCCGGAGGUGUACUCGCAACUGUAAGCUAGGAGAUGUCGGCCAGUCGAGCCACUAGGAAUUUCAUUCCUGGGAAGGCGGCCAACAUUAAUGAUUAGUAAGCCAGGAAACCUGCCAUCGC